rnacentral:rRNA from 1 species
GACGGAGGAUGCAAGUGUUAGUCCGGAAUCACUGGGCGUAAAGCGUCUGUAGGUGGUCAAAUAAGUCAACUGUUAAAUCUUGAGGGCUCAACCGUCAAAAUCGCAGUCGAAACUAUUAGACUAGAGUAUAGUAGGGGUAAAGGGAAUUUCCAGUGGAGCGGUGAAAUGCGUAGAGAUUGGAAAGAACACCGAUGGCGAAGGCAACUUUACGUGGGCUAUUACUAACACUCAGAGACGAAAGCUAGGGUAGCAAAUGGG